rnacentral:rRNA from 1 species
UACAGAGGUCUCAAGCGUUGUUCGGAUUCAUUGGGCGUAAAGGGUGCGUAGGUGGCAUGGUAAGUCGGAUGUGAAAUCCCGGGGACGUCAACCCCGGAACCUGCAUUCGAUACUGCUGCGCUAGAGUACUGGAGAGGAGAUUGGAAUUUACGGUGUAGCAGUGAAAUGCGUAGAUAAUCGUAAGGAAGACAGUGGCGAAGGCCGGAGUCUCUGGACGUUACUGGAC